rnacentral:rRNA from 1 species
AGCAGCCGCGGUAAUUCCAGCUCCAAUAGCGUAUAUUAAAGUUGUUGCAGUUAAAAAGCUCGUAGUUGAAUUUCGGGGUCAGUAGGUUGGUCAUGCCACAGGUAUGUACUGAUCUUACUGAUUCCUCCUUCCUGAUGAACCGUAAUGCCAUUAAUUUGGUGUUGCGGGGAAACUGGACUGUUACUUUGAAAAAAUUAGAGUGUUUAAAGCAGGCUAACGCUUGAAUACAUUAGCAUGGAAUAAUGAAAUAGGACGUUCGAUCCUAUUUUGUUGGUUUCUAGGAUUGACGUAAUGAUUAAUAGGGAUAGUUGGGGGCAUUAGUAUUCAAUUGUCAGAGGUGAAAUUCUUGGAUUUAUUGAAGACUAACUACUGCGAAAGUAUUUGCCAAGGAUGUUUUCAUUAAUCAAGAACGAAAGUUAGGGGAUCGAAGACGAUCAGAUACCGUCGUAGUCUUAACCAUAAACUAUGCCGACUAGGGAUCGGAUGAUGUUAUUUUAAUGACUCAUUCGCGCCUUACGGG